rnacentral:rRNA from 1 species
AUGAUAGCUAAACAAUAUAUACAGUCUAGCCUGCCUGCAUAUCCACAAUAUGCACCAAAUCGCAUCUUACUAUUUUACACUGAACCUGGACCUUCUCCCAGUGAUGAAGUACUUCCUCCGUUUCAAAUUAUAAGAUGUUUUGGAUAUUUUAAUAUGGACUACAUACAUAAUAAAAUGAGUGAACAAACAAACAAAAACACGUCUAAAUACAUCCGAUUUAGAAAAAAGUUAGAACAUCUUAUAUUAGUAAACGCAGGGAGUAACUUUCAGUGUAAUCAUGGUGGAGCAGAAUUAUAUAAACAAGGUGAGAGACCACAUUGGUGA